rnacentral:rRNA from 1 species
UACCAGCACCCCGAGUGGUCGGGACGUUUAUUGGGCCUAAAGCGUCCGUAGCCGGUUCUGCAAGUCUUCCGUUAAAUCCACCUGCUUAACAGAUGGGCUGCGGAGGAUACUAUAAGACUAGGAGGCAGGAGAGGCAAGCGGUACUCAGUGGGUAGGGGUAAAAUCCGUUGAUCCAUUGAAGACCACCAGUGGCGAAGGCGGCUUGCCAGAAUGCGCUCGACGGUGAGGGAUGAAAGCUGGGGGAGCAAACCGG